rnacentral:rRNA from 1 species
GACGAACGCUGGCGGCGUGCUUAACACAUGCAAGUCGAACGAUGAACCAGGGCUUGCCCUGGGGAUUAGUGGCGAACGGGUGAGUAACACGUGGGCAACCUGCCCCAGACACCGGGAUAACCUCUCGAAAGAGUGGCUAAUACCGGAUACGACCACUUUGGGCAUCCAACGGUGGCGGAAAGGAUUCUGGUCUGGGAUGGGCCCGCGGCCUAUCAGCUUGUUGGUGGGGUAAUGGCCUACCAAGGCGACGACGGGUAGCCGGCCUGAGAGGGCGACCGGCCACACUGGGACUGAGACACUGCCCAGACUCAUACGGGAGGCAUCAGUGGGGAAUAUUGCGCAAUGGGCGAAAGCCUGACGCAGCGACGCCGCGUGAGGGACGAAGGUCUUCGGAUUGUAAACCUCUUUCAGCAGGGACGAAGCGAAAGUGACUGUACCUGCAGAAGAAGCACCGGCUAACUACGUGCCAGCCGCCGCCGUAAGAC